rnacentral:rRNA from 1 species
UCAAAUUGAGCUUACUGAUAAAUAAGUAUGAUUAGAGAUUUAAAUAUUAAUAAAAACAUUUUUAAUAAAGGGAGUUUUUGUAUUGGAUAAAGAAAUAAUUUUUAGGGUGGUAGUUUAGUAGUAUCGUGAGAGAAUGUUGAAAUAGGUGAAAACUAAUUGUUGGUUAAGUAGGUUUGAUUUGCUGUACCUUGUGUAUCAGGGUUUAUUAAAAAGAUUUUAAAGAUUUAAAUUUCCCGAUUUAAAGAGGGCUAAUUAUAAUUGCUGGUUAAUGUAGAAUAAUUAUCAGUGAAUUAUAAUUAGAAAUUAAACGUUAUUCGUUCUUUAAGGUAUCUGGUUUUUUAAGAAAUGAAUUUAAUUCAGUUGUUUAAUAUUAAAGUUUAAUUUGGUUAAACUUAUAUAAUUAGGCAGUAAUAGCUUGGGGGAUAAGCUUCAGGUUAUGAAUUAUAAAUAUAGGAUUUGUUUGUUAAUAGGUAGGCUUAGAAGUAGCCAUCGUUGGAUAGUGUUAUAACUUGUUUUGAGGAUAUAUUAUUUUUCUUUUAUUUAAUUAUUUAUUAGAAUGUUAUUUUUAAUGGUAUAUAGUGAGCAAUAAUGAUGAAAUUAGUAUAUACUUGUUGUUUUUAUAGAUUGGGCCGUUAGGCUGUUGUAAGGAACUAGGCAAAUAAGCGCUCGCCUGUUUAACAAAAACAUGUCCUCUUGUGGAGAAUUUGAGGUCUAGCCUGCCCACUGAUUUUAUUGAAGGGCCGCGGUAUUUUGACCGUGCAAAGGUAGCAUAAUCAUUAGUCUUUUAAUUGAAGGCUGGUAUGAAUGGUUGGACGAGGUGCUGACUGUCUCACAGCAGAUGCUGGUAGAAUUUAACAUUUAAGUUAAAAGGCUUAAAUAUAUUUAAAGGACGAGAAGACCCUAUAGAGCUUUAUACUACGAUUUUAUACGUUGUUUAGAUGAAUUGUUCUUAUAUAUUUUCUAGUAUUUUAUUGGGGUGAUAGGAAGAUAAAAUAAACUCUUUUUUGUGUAAUACAUUGAUUUAUGAUUUUUUGAUCCGUUAUUAGUGAUUAUAAGACUAAGUUACCUUAGGGAUAACAGCGUAAUCUUUUUUGAGAGUUCAUAUCGACAAAAAGGGUUGCGACCUCGAUGUUGGAUUAAGGUAAAUUUUGGGUGUAGAUGUUCAAAUUUUAGGUCUGUUCGACCUUUAAAUCCUUACAUGAUCUGAGUUCAGACCGGCGUAAGCCAGGUCGGUUUCUAUCCUUAGAAAAAGUAUGUGUUUUAGUACGAAAGGACCAAGCACUUGAAUUAAUUUUUUUGUUUAGUUUAAAAGUAAGUUG